rfam:Kytococcus sedentarius DSM 20547, complete genome.
CGACCCCGCGGGGGAGAGUCCCGUCGAGGGACGCCGAAGGAGCAACCUCCCCGGAAUCUCUCAGGCGCACGGACUCCGCGGACGAG